UGGAAGAAGAUUGACAAAAUUGUGAACAUAUUUUUAGUUCUACAUCAAAAAAGGGUAUAGAGAUAGAAAUGGUACACUUUUAAGACAUGUGUUUAAAGAAGGCACUUGAACAACAGCCUCUGUGGCAAUGGAGCAGACAGUUACCCAGUAUUGACCACUUAAGUGCAUAUGCAAAGACCACCAUCCACAUCCUAUCCUACCCAACCUUUUUUAAAUAUGUGAUUGUGUCAUACUCAGACACUAAAUUUUCCGUUGAGUUGAAAAUAUCAAUAACAGUACAGAUAGUUUAACAACCUGAAACUUCCAAGCAAAUGCUGUUUACAAGUAAAUAAAGUACAUUAUGUAAAGACACUGUAACUGUGAUAAUAUGACUUCUGUUUCCAAGUGAAUGAUGAUGUGGCUUCGUAAUAUUGGCCAAGGACACAACCUUCAGAAAGUAGAUCAUACUAUUUUUCUAAAAAGGAGCAUGGUGCAUAAAUGGAACAGAAAGGACACUGCAAGUCCAGGCUGAUUCAAACCUAGUCUGUACUUAUUUGUGUUCUUGGAUUGAUGUUGACGAAAAGAAGUUUUCUUCUUUUUUUGUUUGUCUUUCUCCUGACAAGUGUCACUUGGCUGACAUGAUUUCAGCCAAGAAACAUCGGAGCACCUCAAAGAAUCACACUUAGAGCUAAAGAGAUGAACAUGGACUAAAAGGCAGAAUUCAAAAUAACCAAUUUGGGUUUUAAAAAAAAAAAAAAAAAAAAAAACUGCAAUCACGGUGUGUUAUUGUCAACAGCCGGGAGCUGUUAAUGUGUGUGAGGGGAUAUAAACAAUGAUGACUGAACAUUUUGGCCUGCCCGCAAGUUAUUAUUCACAUGUAUUUCAUUGUUAUUCUUGUUGACAAGAUCUGGUUUUGAAUAGACUGACAAAUGGAAAAUAGCAGCAAAACUGUUUCUGCUUUGUCAAAAAUAGAAGCAGCAAUCUGCCAAUUAUUUCACAAUCUUGUCCUUUGGCGCAAGAGGCAGUACCUCCCAUUAGCAACAUUGUUCCACUUUGUUAUGUCAUAUUGGUUGAAACACUCUUGCCAGACUGAAGUGCUUUCUUGUCCUGCUGGUUUAUUUUUGGUUCUGAGGUUUCAGCACCUAUCUACAUGGUACACAACGAAGUACACCACCGCUAAACUUCUCUAAGACUGAACUCUUCAUCAUCUGAACCAAGGUCGCAAGAAACCUGUGGCCUCCAAGGAUCAUUGUCUGGCAUUGCCAUCCCUGCAGACAAGGCAUUCGCAGUCCAGACUGUUCUCAUUUGUGGUUCCCCAAUGGUGGAACAAGCUACCAAAUGCUAUCAGAGCAGGCGCGUCCAUCGCUAUCUUAUAACAUAACAAUCUCACAUGCUGUAAAAGCACUUACUAUGCGCACACAAUCACCUUCUUUGAUUUAGCACUUUGCCUUAUUUAAUAGAUACAGUAUUUAAGUCCUGGAGCUUUAGUGUUGUCAUUCAUUUGUAAGUUGCUUUGGAUAAAAGCAUUGGCUAAAUGACUUAAUGUAAAUGUGAAAGAAAAGCAAUGAGCAAUGGGUUUCUUCUUGAAUGCAAAUCUGUUUAGGUUGACUUCAUGCAAUGUCCUUGACACUGUCUGUCACUGAAACACCAAUUUCAGAGGCACUAAUCCAGACAUUUUUAAUGCACUUUCGCAUAAAUAGCAAAUUCUGCAUGGCAUUUUACAAGGACAACCACUGCUUCAGUUUAUUCAGUAACAUACUCAUGCUCUUGUACCCUUCUCCACCUCUCUGAAGUCUCGCAAUCUGGCCUCUGACUUGUUUGGGAAAUUCCUUGCCAGGUCAAAACCGAGAAAGCUGUGGCGUUCAUGGGUUAUUUUAUAACCUUAUUCAUGCAUUUAUCCUUAAUUAGAAACUACCGGUGUAUUUAAAUUUGUUUCUGUUUUAAUGAUAUUGCACUAGGGUGCACUCAGUUUUGUUUUAUGCUGUAUAUACAGAGGCUGAGUACAAUAAUAAAUUAUUACUGUCAUAUUAA